UACGUAGGGUGCAAGCGUUAUUCGGAAUUACUGGGCUUAAAGGGUGCGCAGGCGGUUGGGCAAGACAGCGGUGAAAUCCCCGGGCUCAACCUGGGAAUUGCAUUUGUGACUGCACGGCUAGAGUGUGUCAGAGGGGGGUAGAAUUCCACGUGUAGCAGUGAAAUGCGUAGAGAUGUGGAGGAAUACCGAUGGCGAAGGCAGCCCCCUGGGAUAACACUGACGCUCAUGCACGAAAGCGUGGGGAGCAAACAGG
rnacentral:rRNA from 1 species